rnacentral:rRNA from 1 species
UGGGGAAUUUUGGACAAUGGGCGAAAGCCUGAUCCAGCAAUGCCGCGUGUGUGAAGAAGGCCUUCGGGUUGUAAAGCACUUUUGUCCGGAAAGAAAUCCUUGGCUCUAAUACAGUCGGGGGAUGACGGUACCGGAAGAAUAAGCACCGGCUAACUACGUGCCAGCAGCCGCGGUAAUACGUAGGGUGCAAGCGUUAAUCGGAAUUACUGGGCGUAAAGCGUGCGCAGGCGGUUUGCUAAGACCGAUGUGAAAUCCCCGGGCUCAACCUGGGAACUGCAUUGGUGACUGGCAGGCUAGAGUAUGGCAGAGGGGGUAGAAUUCCACGUGUAGCAGUGAAAUGCGUAGAGAUGUGGAGGAAUACCGAUGGCGAAGGCAGCCCCCUGGGCCAAUACUGACGCUCAUGCACGAAAAGCGUGGGGAGCAAACAGGAUUAGAUACCCUGGUAGUCCACGCCCUAAACGAUGUCAACUGGUUGUUGGGGAUUCAUUUCCUUAGUAACGUAGCUAACGCGUGAAGUUGACCGCCUGGGGAGUACGGUCGCAAGAUUAAAACUCAAAGGAAUUG